rnacentral:rRNA from 1 species
AGCAGCCGCGGUAAUUCCAGCUCCAAUAGCGUAUAUUAAAGUUGUUGCAGUUAAAAAGCUCGUAGUUGAAUUUUGGGCCUGGCUGGGUGGUCUUGCCGCAAGGUAAGCACUGCUCUGGUCGGGUCUUUCCUUCUGGGGAGCCAGCGUGCUCUUAACUGAGUGCGUUGGGGAUCCAGGACUUUUACUGUGAAAAAAUUAGAGUGUUCAAAGCAGGCCUUUGCUCGAAUACAUUAGCAUGGAAUAAUAGAACAGGACGUGCGGUUCUAUUUUGUUGGUUUCUAGGACCGCCGUAAUGAUUAAUAGGGAUAGUCGGGGGCGUCAGUAUUCAGCUGUCAGAGGUGAAAUUCUUGGAUUUGCUGAAGACUAACUACUGCGAAAGCAUUCGCCAAGGAUGUUUUCAUUAAUCAGGGAACGAAAGUUAGGGGAUCGAAGACGAUCAGAUACCGUCGUAGUCUUAACCAUAAACUAUGCCGACUAGGGAUCGGAUGAUGUUAAUUUUUAAAUGACUCA